CUUCAAAUUUUCAUUUGAAAAGAAAAAUAUGAAAAGAGUUUGAAUCGUUACGACUUUAAUUCAUCGAAAAUAGGUCAGAUGUUCAGUAGAAAUAAAAUUUUAACAAUUGUUGCAUUUUGACAAAGGAUUCCGGUUUAAUGUUUCGACUUGCAAAGAAUCACUCUACUGUAACGCAUAAAAGCUGAGAGCUCGAAAGAAUGAUAAACAUUUUCGUGAUAUGGGGAAGAAGUAGUGAAACGUGCAGCUGUUGCCUCAUAAAAUACUUCUAUUUGGCUAAUAACUUUAGUUUAAUCAACAUAUCCAUGACUACAUCAGGCCAACGACUCUAGGCAGCUGCCUAGCCGGAAACCAGCUACUGAUGCCCAUACCAGUAAAUAAGAAAAGAAGAGUAUUUUAUUCUAAUAAAAAGAAGAUUUUGAUUCAGUAUACCUAUCAGUCCAUACAUUAAAGGCAAUCAAAAGUAAAUGAAAGAUAUAGAGAAGUAGGGCUUCAUCGAGAAAGCACACCCACUCACCUUCGGAAGGAGAGCGAAAGCAACUAUUGUUAUGAACGCCACACAUAAUAUAAAUAAUUUUGAAAUGCGUCAUCUUCAUCCGUCAUUAGAUCUUACUAAUCGAACUUUGUCAGUAGAUAUUAGUAUUGAGCCAACUAGUGAUAGUUCAUCAACGGUUUUAGCAAUUGAUCCAUUUGCUACCAUUCUGGUUUGGACAAUAAUAGAAACGGUUGCUCUGGGAUUCCUUACAACAGCAGCUUUCAGAUCUUUAAAGACGUAUCAAUAUAAUUACAGAAACCCCAAUCUUGAUAUUCCUCAUACAUUUCAUGACAACUUGCAGGAAGAUAUUAUCGACUUAGAUGAGAGUAAAGAUUCAAAUAUAAGUAUUGAAUCUUUCGUAUUUGAAGAUUCUGUACCACUAAGUAAACAAAAGGGUGUUUCAAAAGAACCACAUCACAUUUUAAAACCAUGCCCAAUUUUGUGCUCUAAGAGAAACACGACGAAAGCUAUA